rnacentral:rRNA from 1 species
CGGAGGGUGCAAGCGUUAUCCGGAUUCACUGGGUUUAAAGGGUGCGUAGGCGGGCAGGUAAGUCAGUGGUGAAAUCUCCAAGCUUAACUUGGAAACUGCCGUUGAUACUAUCUGUCUUGAAUACUGUGGAGGUGAGCGGAAUAUGUCAUGUAGCGGUGAAAUGCUUAGAUAUGACAUAGAACACCAAUUGCGAAGGCAGCUCACUACACAGCCAUUGACGCUGAGGCACGAAAGCGUGGGGAUCAAACAGGAUU